rnacentral:rRNA from 1 species
UACGGAGGGUGCGAGCGUUGUUCGGAAUCACUGGGCGUAAAGGGCGUGUAGGCGGUCCGCUAAGUCUGAUGUGAAAGCCCGGGGCUCACCCCCGGAAGUGCAUUGGAAACUGGCGGACUCGAGUCCCGGAGAGGAGAGUGGAAUUCCUGGUGUAGCGGUGAAAUGCGUAGAUAUCAGGAGGAACACCGGUGGCGAAGGCGGUUCUCUGGGCAUGUCCUGACGCUGAGGAGCGAAAGUGUGGGGAGCGAACAGG